rnacentral:ncRNA from 1 species
AUUAAUAACCGGCGGUCGAGAACCCCACAAAUUAAU